UACGAAGGGGGCUAGCGUUGCUCGGAAUCACUGGGCGGAAAGCGCACGUAGGCGGCUUUUUAAGUCAGGGGUGAAAUCCUGGAGCUCAACUCCAGAACUGCCUUUGAUACUGAGGAUCUUGAGUUCGGGAGAGGUGAGUGGAACUGCGAGUGUAGAGGUGAAAUUCGUAGAUAUUCGCAAGAACACCAGUGGCGAAGGCGGCUCACUGGCCCGAUACUGACGCUGAGGCACGAAAGCGUGGGGAGCAAACAGG
rnacentral:rRNA from 1 species